rnacentral:rRNA from 1 species
UAGGGAAUCUUCCGCAAUGGACGAAAGUCUGACGGAGCAACGCCGCGUGAGUGAAGAAGGAUUUCGGUUCGUAAAACUCUGUUGUUAGGGAAGAAAAAAUGUAUAGUAACUAUAUACAAAAGAGACGGUACCUAACCAGAAAGCCACGGCUAACUACGUGCCAGCAGCCGCGGUAAUACGUAGGUGGCAAGCGUUGUCCGGAAUUAUUGUGCGUAAAGCGCGCGCAGGUGGUUUAGAAAGUCUGAUGUGAAAGACCACGGCUCAACCGUGGAGGGUCAUUGGAAACUAAUAAACUUGAGUGCAGGAGAGAAAAGUGGAAUUCCUAGUGUAGCGGUGAAAUGCGUAGAGAUUAGGAGGAACACCGGUGGCGAAAGCGGCUUUUUGGCCUGCAACUGACACUGAGGCGCGAAAGCGUGGGGAGCAAACAGG